rnacentral:rRNA from 1 species
UGAAUUUUAAAGGGCCGCGGUAUUUCUGACCGUGCGAAGGUAGCAUAAUCAUUAGUCUUUUAAUUGAAGGCUCGUAUGAAUGGUUGGACGAGAGAUAAUCUGUUUCAGAUACAGUAUUUGAACUUAACUUUUAAGUGAAAAGGCUUAAAUUAUUCAAAAAGACGAUAAGACCCUAUAAAUCUUAACAUUAAUUUUUAUGUAAUUCCAGAUAAUUAGUAAAAGGAAACGCAUAAUAAAAAUGUUAUGUUGGGGCGACAAAGAUAUAGAACACUAAACUGUUUUACAACCUAAACAAAAAUUAUUGAAGUAUUAGAUCCUUAUUAAAGAUUCAAAGAUCAAGUUACUUUAGGGAUAACAGCGUUAUUCUUUUUGAGAGUUCUCAUCGAAAAAAGAGUUUGCGACCUCGAUGUUGAAUUAGAAAAUCU